AUGGGAACUAAUAAAGAGUGGGGAGGGGCUCAAUAAUAAGGCUAGGCAGCAGGAAGUGGUUUGCUGUAUCAAACACUUGAGCUUGCCUCACAACAUGCAGCACAACAAGGUUCUUGGAUCCAGGUACGUACUGGUGGUCAUACUUUGUACGCUGCCUGUCACCUCCUGGUAAGCUGAUCAAUCUUUUAGUGGCCUGAAAAGAAAAGAAUCAAGACUGUCGUCAGAUCAAGCAAAGGAACAAACGUUUAUCAUCACUUAACUUCUACAUUUACACAGAGACUAGGCAUGAUUGCAUUGACAUUUGACAUACCUUAAGAAGAGUUGGCUAGAGUUUGCCAUCCCAGGCGAAUUGAGCUUCUGGUCGUAAACAUUCUUGACUUGCUGAUGGCACUGUAAUGAUGGCACUGUAAAAUACUGUCAGUACUGUGGCCGGCUGUGCACCAUCUAGAAAACAGUGGGCGUUGCCGACAAAAGGGGCGUGACCCCGGAAGUGGGCGUGGUCUAAUUUUUGCAGCGCGCUUUGCGCGCAAUGAGCACCCCCAUUUACUGAAUCCUAGGAUCGCCCCUGCUGUACCAUGACUGUGGUAUGAUCAAUGAAAGAGCAAAUGUUGCAACAUGCAAGAUGAUCAACACUGAAACCAUAAUAUUAUUAUGAACCACUAACUCAGCCAUGAUGUAUGAUGUAUUUAAUAGGAUUGGCUUACAUACAAUAAAUUCUGUGCACUCCAGAGGGCCUCUUAGCUUGUGCUCCUGAUUAGGAGCACAAGAAAAUAUAUAGAGGGCGAUCAUAAAUCGAAAGUGCCAAGUCAGCAUAUGGAAACCCCCUGUUAAUCACCAUUAAUCACCAUUCCUCAUGGCACCUUGUUUCCGGACACGCCCAUUUGCUGGAAAAUUGGAAAAUAAAAACCUCGCAAUUAUUCCAUUUCGAGGGGUCCGCCACUCCUUAAAAUCUUGUACGCCUGUGGGCAAAAUCUCCUUAAAAUCUUAAAAUCUCGCAAAAUCUCUUAAAAUCUCUCCCUAUAAUCCGUAAUCUAUGUUUCCAUCUCCGUAAAUCUUGCUUACGUUACAGCAUUCAGCUGCAAUGGUCUCGAGUAUGGAGUGCCGUUUGUAUCAAAAUCCUUUUUUAAGGAACAUUGUCCACGAGAAGGCGCUAUUCCUCGAGCCACGGAUAUUUACUAAACAUCAGUGUUAUAAAAGCAGUGCAUUGCACUGCAGUGAUAUUAAUUUUAGUAAAAAGCAGUGAUGUUUACUAAAAAGCAGUGAUAUUUAGUAAAAAGCAGUGAUAUUUAGUAAAAAGCAGUGAUGUUUACUAAAAAGCAGUGAUAUUGCAGUGAUAUUUAGUAAAAAGCAGUGAUGUUUACUAAAAAGCAGUGAUAUUAGUAAAAAUGAUGUUUACAAGUGAUAUUUAGUAAAAAGCAGUGAUAUUUAGUAAAAAGCAGUGAUGUUUACUAAAAAGCAGUGAUGUUUAGUAAAAAGCAGUGAUAUUUACUAAAAAGCAGUGAUGUUUAGUUAAAAAGCAGUGAUAUUUACUAAAAAGCAGUGAUGUUUAGUAAAAAGCAGUGAUAUUUACUAAAAAGCAGUGAUGUUUAGUAAAAAGCAGUGAUAUUUACUAAAAAGUGAUGUUUACACAGUGAUGUUUAGUAAAAAGCACAACUUCGACCUUACUAGAUUGAAGUUUACUUGUAUCUUUGACGACCAUAACUCCACAUGGGCUGAUAAUUUUAUUGUUAAACAAUGGCAACGACAUCUAUGUCUGAAGAGGAGCUGGAACAAACUUUUUACGAGGCGAUAAUGACUGCUUUGUCGGAAGAAGGAGUAACUCCACACUGUCAUAGUGAGGAUUCUGAUGAAGAAAGGUCUGCUGGUCGCCCGUCAAUCCCAUUGAACAUGGAUGAUGUGGAAUUUGGAUGAUGUGGAAUUUUUAAGGGGAAUGAGUUUCACCUGGACCAAGAUUGCACAAUUACUGCAAAUAAGUCGCUCAACUCUGUAUAGGAGACUGAAUGAGGAGGGUGUUCCGAACCAUGUUUCUUACAGUGACAUUACUGAUGAACAAUUGGAUGAAUCCAUUGAAAAUAUUAAACAGGCUCAUCCAAACGACGGGGAACGGAUGUAACCUUGCCAGACGAGGUAAUUGUACAAAGAGCACGGUUACGAGGAUCGAUUCAUCGAGUUGACCCUAUUAAUACAGCCAAUUAGAAGGAGCAUUACAAUAAGAUGCCGGGUGUAUCAUGCAGAUGGGCCCAACACAGUCUGGCAUGUUGAUGGACACCAUAAAUUGAUCAGGUGGGGGUUGGUAACUCACGGUGGGAUCGACGGUGGGAUCGAUGGUUACUCACGUACUGUGGUGUUUCUACGUUGCAGUGACAAUAACCGUGCGGAAACUGUAUUGGGUGCCUUUCGAGAUGCUGUAGAAAGACAUGGAUUGCCAACUAGGAUAAGAUCAGACUUGGGUGGAGAAAACGUAGAUGUUUGGCGCUAUAUGGUAGAACAACAUUGUGAUUCAUCUUCAAUCAUUACUGGUUCGUCAACACACAACCAGCGCAUUGAAAGAUUAUGGCGAGAUGUUUUCCGUUGUGUUGCGUCUAUUUUUUACCACAUCUUCUAUAAACUGGAAGACGAGAAUGUACUAUAUAGAAUGUACUAUAUAGAUUGCCUGAAUGAAAUCAACCUGUACUGUCUGCGCUUUGUGUACCUUAAACGCAUUAAUAAAUCCCUAGAUUGUUUUGUAGAAAGCUGGAACAACCAUCCCGUUGCAAGUGCUCGAAACAUGACUCCAAACCAGUUAUUUAUUCAAGGUGCACUCGAGCAGAACAUGAUUCAUAACACCGGUACGUCUGAGUGUGCAGUCACCCACCACGUGACCAUGUACGUGUGCCACGGUUGUCAUUCAUCCCUUGCUCACACCUUAAACGGAUUGUACGAACUAUUGAUUGCUUAAGAGAAAGCACUGAUUUUGGAUGUGAUAUAUACCGAGAAGUUUGUAGUAAAGUAGGGCAACAUUUAUCAAACACUUGUGCUAGUUGUCAUUUUUAGUCAGUUUUGUGGUCAUGAAACUUAAUUAACUUCCAAUAA